rnacentral:lncRNA from 1 species
AUGAAAGAAACAAUCAUGGGCCAGGAAAACCCACCAAACUGCAGGAAAGGAACUGCUCACAGAAAGAAGGAGGUGGUUCAUAAAACAGCCACAGCAGAUGAUUAAAAACUUCAGUUCUCCUUAAAGAAGUUAGAGGUAAACACUGUCUCUGGUAUUGAAGAGGUGAAUAUGUUUACAAACCAAGGAACAGUGAUCCACUUUAACAACCCUAAAGUUUAGGCAUCUCUAGCAGUGAACACUUUCACCAUUACAGGCCAUGCUGUGACAAAGCAGCUGACAGAAAUGCCAUGCAGCAUCUUAAACCAGCUUGGUGCAGUUUGGCUAGUUUAAGGAGACUGGCUGAAGCUCUGCCUAAACAAUACGUGGAUGGAAAGCACCACUUGCUACUGGAGAGGAUGACGAUGAUGAAGUUCCAGAUCUUGUAGAAAAUUUUGAUGAGGCUUCCAAGAAUGAGGCAAACUGAAUUGAGUCAACUUCUGAAGAAGAUAAAACUUGAAGAAGUUACUGGGAGCUGCUAUUUUAUAUU